UACGUAGGGUGCAAGCAUUAAUCGGAAUUAUUGGGCGUAAAGGGCGCGUAGGCGGCUUUGCAAGUGACGGGUGAAAUCCCUCGGCUUAACCGAGGAACUGCCUGUCAGACUGCAUUGCUUGAGUCCGGGAGAGGUGAGUGGAAUUCCCAGUGUAGCGGUGAAAUGCGUAGAUAUUGGGAGGAACACCAGUGGCGAAGGCGGCUCACUGGACCGGAACUGACGCUGAGGCGCGAAAAGCGUGGGGAGCAAACAGG
rnacentral:rRNA from 1 species